rnacentral:lncRNA from 1 species
GCCCUUCCCCCGGCUUCCCCACGCUUCCUCCCAGGCUCUGCCCAGGUGCCUGCAAACCCACGUGCGGGCUCCCCUGGUCCACAGCGCCGCUCCUAGCAACCGCCCCCCUCUCUCCCUGCCAGAUCCGGAAAUGUGUGGUCUCGGCUGGUUUCCUCCUGAAUCCUUGAAGCGCCCACUCAGCCUCUGCCUGAUGCUUCGGCUCCCAUGCAGUUUGCUGAAGUCACCCUGCUGAAGGGCGUCAGAGCUGGAGGACAGGUGGCCCCGGACCUCCCACUCCCGCCCUGCAGAGCCGCCUGAUGCUUCGACAGCCGCCUCUUCCAGAACCAGUGGACACGCUCGCUCCGUUGGUUUCCAUGACACUGCACUUUCCCACGUCUCCUCCGGAUUUCUGACAGCUUGUUUCCUUGCUGGCCUGCGUGGUCUCCUCCCGGCUUCUCGUUGUGGGCGUGUCCAGGGCGCUGCCCUCGGCUCUUACCCCAACCGGUGCCCACCGCCCCCUCUAGAGGGCUCUCCUCCCGGUAGCCUGAUGCCACCUCCCACCACUGUGGCCCCUGGGGCCUUGGCUACCCACGGUCCCCAAUCCCACACGGCCAGCAUUCACAGAACUUCUUGUCCUACCUCCUAUGAAUCAAGUCCUAAAUCACAGACCCUGAAGAAGUGGUACGCUGCACUUGGAAGAGGAGGCAUCCUUUCCCCAGACACCCCAGGGGCUAGAAAUCCCCCAGGCCCGACGCCCUCCGGAGGCGCUGACGUCAGCCCGAGCGGCGGCCGCGGAGCGUUUCUGGUAAGUCUCCCGCCAGCGGCCACCUCCAGGAAGGACAGGGCUGGGCCCAGGCCAAGUCCCGCAGCUGCUCAGCGCCUGCCCGGCCUGGGGAGGUUUCCGGUGUGCCCACUUGGGCCGCAGCAAUCCUGGGGCCCUAAGGGCGUGGGUGGCUGGCCGGCCGUUCCCGGCCUGUCGCCACCCUGUCCAAGAAGUCAAUCCAGCCCACCGACCGCAGAUUCCUAGAGCCUGCGCUCGCUGAUGGGAAUAGAAACGGAAGUACCUCCUUCCCCCUCCCCUCCCCUCCCCUCCCCUCCCCCAUUCCUGCUCUCCCCCCCUUCCCCCAUUCCUGCUCUCCCCUCCCCCAUUCCCCCUCCCCCCUCCUCCCCAUUCCCCCUCCCCCUCCCCUCGCCCCUCCCCUAUUCCCACCCUUCUCCCCUCCCCUCCCCCCUCCCCACCCUCAUCCCUCAAGACUGCUCUUUCCCUGUUCUUGUCACAGGCUUUGACAGCCAUUUGAGACUGCUCAGGGAGAAGACAGGAACUCUGACCCUGGCCCCCAAAUCAGAGGUUUUUAGGCCAGCAAGUCAUAGCGUUUUAGAGCAGACAGAAGGGUCUCUCAAGCCAGGCCAGUGUCCUUUGAGUCAGUGGUUUCUGGAUGCCAGGCACAGCACUCCCAGCUUCACAGGCAUUAAAACCCUGACGCCUGCACUAGGGAGACACUGCUUGAGCUGCAGUUGACAGGUGGGAACAUGGACACAGUGCACAGGACUGAAGCAGCCUGCCUGAGGCCCCACCUCGGAGCCUGUGUUGGGAGCCAGGUCUUGUGACUGACUUCACAGCUGAAUUCUGCCACCGUGUUACGCUUCUCCACGCGUGUUGGUGGAUCACGUGUUCCUGUCCUAGGUCUGCCAGGAAUGAGAGAAACCUGUGGUUAAGCAGGCCUGGGGUGGGGGUGGGGGCAGGGAAGUACCCUAAAUUCAGUUCCACUUCAUGGAAUGUCUUGGAGCAUAGUGACAGAUUAAAGGCUCUGACAAGUCCUGCAGGGAGUAAAUCUGUUUAACUCUCUUUAACCUAGUGUUUCCCAAACUUAUAUGCAUCUGGGAACCCCACCCCCUUUUUAAAAAAUGGGAGAUUGUUACCAUCCUGGAGAAGGUGCUCUGGGAGCUGCUACAUGAGAUCACACCACCUGUCUUGUUCAGAUAGUGCCUGGUAUAUAUUAGGAGCUCUGUAAAUGUGGGUUGGGUAA